GCACUGCUGAAAUGUCCCAAACAGGAUGAAACAGCUGUCCAGUGC
rnacentral:hammerhead_ribozyme from 1 species